rnacentral:rRNA from 1 species
GUACACGCUGUGACUAGCAUAUCAAUAAGCGGAGGAAAAGAAACUAACAAGGAUUCCCCUAGUAACGGCGAGUGAAGCGGGAAGAGCUCAAAUUUGAAAUCUUAAAGGGUUUCCCUUUACGAAUUGUAGUUUAAAGAAGUGUUUUCUGUUGAGGUUUUGGUAAAAGUUCUUUGGAAUAGGACAUCAUAGAGGGUGAGAAUCCCGUAUUUGACCUUUACUUUCAACUUUGUGAUACACUUUCAAAGAGUCGGAUUGUUUGGGAAUGCAGUCCAAAAUGGGUGGUAAAUUUCAUCUAAAGCUAAAUAUUGGCGAGAGACCGAUAGCGAACAAGUACCGUGAGGGUAAGAUGAAAAGAACUUUGAAAAGAGAGUUAAACAGUACGUGAAAUUGUCAAAAGGGAAGCGUUUGACACCAGUGUUGUUUUCUGAAAAUCAAUUAAAGGAACUGUUUAUGCUAAGUUGUUUAGACUUUAUCAGCUAUCUGUUUAGUUUUGAGCUUUUCUUUAAUGCACUUUUCAGUUAACAAGUCAACAUCAAUUUCUUUUGCUGUAAAAAAGCUUGAGGAAGGUGGCUUGAGAUUCGUCUUAAGUGUUUAUAGCCUCUUGCCUAUGCAGUCGGAGAGAUUGAGGUCCUGCAGCGUAGAUCCUUCGGGGCUAAAUGCAUUUGUGCUAAGUUAUAGCAUUUUAUAGACAACUUGUUGACUAUGAUUUGUCUUGUAGCUUACUCGCUUAUGUUAUUUUACCUACGCUUAGGAUGUUGAGUCGUAGAGCACGCAG